CGAAAGCCUGACGGAGCAACGCCGCGUGAGGGAUGAAGGCCUUUGGGCUGUAAACCUCUUUUCUCAAGGAAGAAGAUCUGACGGUACUUGAGGAAUAAGCCACGGCUAAUUCCGUGCCAGCAGCCGCGGUAAUACGGGAGUGGCAAGCGUUAUCCGGAAUUAUUGGGCGUAAAGCGUCCGCAGGCGGCCGUUUAAGUCUGUUGUUAAAUCGUGGAGCUCAACUCCAUCACGGCAAUGGAAACUGUUCGGCUUGAGUGUGGUAGGGGCAGAGGGAAUUUCCGGUGUAGCGGUGAAAUGCGUAGAUAUCGGGAAGAACACCAGUGGCGAAAGCGCUCUGCUAGGCCAUUACUGACGCUCAUGGACGAAAGCCAGGGGAGCGAAAGGGAUUAGAUACCCCUGUAGUCCUGGCCGUAAACGAUGAACACUAGAUGUUGGGGGAAUCGACCCCCUCGGUGUCGUAGCUAACGCGUUAAGUGUUCCGCCUGGGGAGUACGCACGCAAGUGUGAAACUCAAAGGAAUUGACGGGGGCCCGCACAAGCGGUGGAGUAUGUGGUUUAAUUCGAUGCAACGCGAAGAACCUUACCAAGGCUUGACAUCCUGCGAAUCUCUAAGAAAUUAGAGAGUGCCUUCGGGAACGCAGUGACAGGUGGUGCAUGGCUGUCGUCAGCUCGUGUCGUGAGAUGUUGGGUUAAGUCCCGCAACGAGCGCAACCCACGUUUUUAGUUGCCAGCAUUCAGUUGGGCACUCUAGAAAGACUGCCGGUGACAACCGGAGGAAGGUGUGGACGACGUCAAGUUAUCAUGCCCCUUAUGCCUUGGGCUACACACGUACUACAAUGCUGCGGACAAAGAGUAGCGAUCUUACAAAAGUUAGCUAAUCUCAUAAACCGUGGCUCAGUUCAGAUCGUAGGCUGCAACUCGCCUACGUGAAGUAGGAAUCGCUAGUAAUCGCAGGUCAGCAUACUGCGGUGAAUACGUUCCCGGGCCUUGUACACACCGCCCGUCACACCAUGGAAGUUGGCCAUGCCCGAAGUCGUUACUCUAACCUUUUGGAAGAGGGCGCCGAAGGCAGGGCUAAUGACUGGGGUGAAGUCGUAACAAGGUAGCCGUAGCGGAAGCUGCGGCUGGAUCACCUCCUAA
rnacentral:rRNA from 1 species